rnacentral:rRNA from 1 species
AGAGUUUGAUCCUGGCUCAGAAUGAACGCUGGCGGCGUGCUUAACACAUGCAAGUCGUGCGCGAAGGUGGCUUCGGCUGCCGGAGAGCGGCGAACGGGUGAGUAACACGUGGGCAAUCUGCCUAGGGGUGUGGGAUAACCUGGGGAAACUCGGGCUAAUACCGCAUACGUUGCCGGGACCUUGGUCCUGUCAAGAAAGCUGGCCUCUGUUUACAAGCUAGCGCUCCUAGAGGAGCCCGCGGCUGAUUAGCUAGUUGGUGAGGUAAUGGCUCACCAAGGCGACGAUCAGUAGCCGGCCUGAGAGGGUGAUCGGCCACACUGGAACUGAGACACGGUCCAGACUCCUACGGGAGGCAGCAGUGGGGAAUAUUGGACAAUGGGCGCAAGCCUGAUCCAGCAACGCCGCGUGGAGGAUGAAGGUCUUCGGAUCGUAAACUCCUGUCAGAUGGGACGAACGAGCGUCGGCAAAUAGCCGGCGUUCUUGACGGUACCAUCAGAGGAAGCCCCGGCUAACUCCGUGCCAGCAGCCGCGGUAAUACGGAGGGGGCAAGCGUUAUUCGGAAUUAUUGGGCGUAAAGGGCGCGUAGGCGGCUUGACAAGUCAAAGGUGAAAUCCCUCGGCUCAACUGAGGAACUGCCUUUGAAACUGUCUGGCUUGAGGCCGGGAGGGGAGCGGAAUUCCCAGUGUAGCGGUGAAAUGCGUAGAUAUUGGGAGGAACACCAGUGGCGAAGGCGGCUACCUGGACCGGUUCUGACGCUGAUGCGCGAAAGCGUGGGUAGCAAACAGGAUUAGAUACCCUAGUAGUCC